GCUAACAGUGGUACCAGGAUUCAACCCUUCCAAGGUUGAGGUGGGGGUUCGAUUCCCUCCUGUCGCA
rnacentral:tRNA from 1 species